AGUGGCGGACGGGUGAGUAACGCGUGAGAAUCUGCCUUGGGGUCGGGGACAACCACUGGAAACGGUGGCUAAUACCGGAUAAGCCGAUUGGUGAAAGAUUUAUUGCCCGAAGAGGAGCUCGCGUCUGAUUAGCUAGUUGGUGAGGUAAGAGCUCACCAAGGCAGCGAUCAGUAGCUGGUCUGAGAGGACGAUCAGCCACACUGGGACUGAGACACGGCCCAGACUCCUACGGGAGGCAGCAGUGGGGAAUUUUCCGCAAUGGGCGAAAGCCUGACGGAGCAAGACCGCGUGAGGGAGGAAGGCUCUUGGGUUGUAAACCUCUUUUCUCAGGGAAGAAGCUCUGACGGUACCUGAGGAAUCAGCCUCGGCUAACUCCGUGCCAGCAGCCGCGGUAAUACGGAGGAGGCAAGCGUUAUCCGGAAUUAUUGGGCUUAAAGCGUCCGCAGGUGGCGAUUCAAGUCUGCUGUCAAAGCACGGGGCUUAACUCCGUAAAGGCAGUGGAAACUGAAUAGCUAGAGUGCCGUAGGGGUAGAGGGAAUUCCCGGUGUAGCGGUGAAAUGCGUAGAGAUCGGGAAGAACAUCGGUGGCGAAAGCGCUCUACUGGACGGCAACUGACACUCAGGGACGAAAGCUAGGGGAGCGAAUGGGAUUAGAUACCCC
rnacentral:rRNA from 1 species